UACGAAGGGGGCGAGCGUUGUUCGGAUUUACUGGGCGUAAAGGGCGCGCAGGCGGUCUUGAAAGUCAGGCGUGAAAGCCCCGGGCUUAACCUGGGAAUUGCGCUUGAUACUCUGAGACUGGAGUACGGGAGAGGAGAGUGGAAUUCCCAGUGUAGAGGUGAAAUUCGUAGAUAUUAGGAAGAACACCAGUGGCGAAGGCGGCUCACUGGCCCGGUACUGACGCUGAGGCGCGAAAGCGUGGGGAGCAAACAGG
rnacentral:rRNA from 1 species